rnacentral:snRNA from 1 species
AUACUUACCUGGUGUAGGGAUACCGUGAUCAUGCAGACGGUUCCCCCAGGGUGAAACUGCUCCAUUGCACUGCGGAGUGGUAGACCCUUUCGAUUAUUUAAAUUUUUUAUCAGUUUCACUUCUACCGUGUGUGACUUGCAGACUCACACAUUUUUUUUUUGCAUAUAUGUAUGUACAUAUAUC